UUAGCCGGAAAGACCUGGUGGAGAAGGGCAAGCUGAUAUAGAUGCAGGGGUAAUUGAUUGGGAGCCAUCCCCUGGGACAGAGGCAAGGAUGGAUUCCAGAGUCUACCUGAUGAAUUGGCCUUGCACGGAGGAGGGGCUCCUCUUCCUCUGAGGUCCGUGUGGCC
rnacentral:misc_RNA from 1 species